rnacentral:rRNA from 1 species
AUUGAACGCUGGCGGCAGGCUUAACACAUGCAAGUCGAGCGGAGAUGAGGUGCUUGCACCUUAUCUUAGCGGCGGACGGGUGAGUAAUGCUUAGGAAUCUGCCUAUUAGUGGGGGACAACAUUCCGAAAGGAAUGCUAAUACCGCAUACGCCCUACGGGGGAAAGCAGGGGAUCUUCGGACCUUGCGCUAAUAGAUGAGCCUAAGGCGGAUUAGCUAGUUGGUGGGGUAAAGGCCUACCAAGGCGACGAUCUGUAGCGGGUCUGAGAGGAUGAUCCGCCACACGGGGACUGGGACACGGCCCAGACUCCUACGGGAGGCAGCAGUGGGGAAUAUUGGACAAUGGGCGGAAGCCUGAUCCAGCCAUGCCGCGUGUGUGAAGAAGGCCUUUUGGUUGUAAAGCACUUUAAGCGAGGAGGAGGCUACCUGGAUUAAUACUCUAGGAUAGUGGACGUUACUCGCAGAAUAAGCACCGGCUAACUCUGUGCCAGCCGCCGCAGUAAGAC